rnacentral:lncRNA from 1 species
CAAUAUAUUGUUUGCAAACAAAUUACCUAAUUAAAAUCAAAUAUUUUAAAAUUGUUUCUGCAAUCUAUUUGUUGUUGAACCGAAUUUUGUUAAACAUGAUUAAAUUUUAUAAUUUUUAAAUUUUUAGUAUAUUUCAGAACUUGUCGGGGUUACUCUUUUAUCAGUUUGAUAAAUUUUGAUAUUAUAAUUGCUCUCGUGAUUUUAUCCUAGUGUUCAUCUUGGAAACGAAUUUUGCAAAUUCUAAGAUUGGGAGGUAAAUUAUUUUGGGACAUAAAUUUAUUAGAUGGUUAUUUUCAUAAUAUUAUUUAUUUGAUUUUAUCAGAUCUGAACAGAACUUUGCAGAUUAUUUGACGAACGGCCUGAAUAGGACUAAGGUCCUGGAGUCAUCGAGGAGGAUGGGACUUGCCCAUAAUGGGCCUUCCUGCAGUGGGAACCCAACCUUUGUGAUAGGAGAUCCCUUGAAGAAGGUUCAAUAUGGUAAAAACAAGCUGUCAGGAUGGCCAAAGAGCACUUUCUACAAAUUUUAUAUAGGAGCUUUAGCUCCAAUCCCAUCCUUAUGGUGAGUAGUGCUCUGUGUAGUGGAUUAGGUUGAGCUGAGAGCUCUUAAUGGGAUCCAAGGCGAUAAUUUUCGCGAGAUGUGACUCUACACACAUCCCUGGAGGAAACCACCUAUAUAAGAGUAUCCGUAUGUGGCCGCGGCUAUGUGAUAUGGGCUAUCCAUAGAAACUCUUAUGAAAAAUCAAGGUACUGUGCAUGGCCAUUAACGCACAGACCCGCGGCGGAGAAUUCUGUACUGUGUGUGUGGUAGUUGAAGUCAGGGCCAAAGGAACGUAGUUCAAGACCUGGUUCACUCCGAUUCCUUCUGAUGGAAACUAUUUACACUAAGUGAGGUUAAGUCUCUUAAAGACACCUUACCCAUUGCAUAGUAUAAAACACCCAGUAAAUUUGAAUUUAAUUCGUAAUUUUAAAAUUUUGAGUUUUGUGGGGGAUUGUUGGUGAAAACUCAAAAUUUUGAGUUUGAAUUUAUUUUAUUUGCACUUUGAUGUUUUAUUAUUUAUUAUUUUAUUUAUUUAUUACUUUAAUUAUUUUAUUUUAUUUAAUUAUUUUAUUAUCUUUCUUAAUGAGAAAGAAACUAACGGAAUUUUUUCCGUUCCGUUUCUUUCGCGUUACGUUGGGCGGGUUCCGCUUCUUUCUCGUAAGAGAAAAAACGUAAAAUCCUCUUUCCUUUUUAGGUCUUUUUCCUUCUCUUCUUGCUCAAGAUAGAGCAGGCAGAAAAGAUUUUUGAUCAUUGGUUAAUCUCUAUCUAUUUAUUCUUUUAUCUUUCAUUUUUGAAAAUUCCCCUUAUCCACUGGGUGUUGAGAAUCUUCGUCAACCUCCUUCACGAUCGUGCUCGCAGGAGGAGGAAUUCCGGUCGUACCUUGGGGUGUUAUUUCCGGUUAAUCCCGCACGUAAGGACGGAAAUACGCCUUAGGGCAGUGCCUCGCACGCUUUCGGAUAAGAUCAAAUCGUUAUUUGGAUAUUUGCGUUGAUCUGUAAGUUUGAUUUUAUUCUUAUUACAAAAUUAGUUAGAUAUUAAUCACAAUCAGAUUUUCGUUGCGGUAUUUGUUCUAACAGAAUUAUUGUUCUCGUUUU